CCAAACCCUAAUCUUACCCCACUUCCAACAAUACCUCAUCGCUCCCUACCCCUCCUUGCUUUCGAUCCGGAUUCCUUCCUGGAUUAGGGUUCUUCCACCAGCCUGAGACCUCGAUUCUUCGUCCACGGAUAGUUAAAUUGGGAGAGAUUUGGGGUUUGGGGCGUUGGGGAGGUGCGGAGCGAUGGAAGGGGGAGCGGGCGGUGGGAACGACGUGGAGUUGGUCUCCAAGACGCUGCAGUUCGAGCAUAAGCUGUUCUACUUCGAUCUGAAGGAGAAUCCACGGGGGAGGUACCUCAAGAUCUCCGAGAAGACGUCGGCCACCAGGUCCACCAUCAUCGUCCCCGUCGACGGCAUCGUCUGGUUCCUCGAGUUGUUCGGCUACUACAUCAGCACGGACGAGCAGGACGUGUUCAGC
rnacentral:lncRNA from 1 species